rnacentral:misc_RNA from 1 species
CUUGGUCAUUUAGAGGAAGUAAAAGUCGUAACAAGGUCUCCGUUGGUGAACCAGCGGAGGGAUCAUUACCGAGUUUACAACUCCCAAACCCCUGUGAACAUACCUUUAUGUUGCCUCGGCGGAUCAGCCCGCGCCCCGUCAAACAGGACGGCCCGCCGCAGGAACCACAAAACUCUGAUUUUAGUGUAACUUCUGAGUCUAAAAAACAAAUAAAUCAAAACUUUCAACAACGGAUCUCUUGGUUCUGGCAUCGGUGAAGAACGCAGCAAAAUGCGAUAAGUAAUGUGAAUUGCAGAAUUCAGUGAAUCAUCGAAUCUUUGAACGCACAUUGCGCCCGCCAGUAUUCUGGCGGGCAUGCCUGUUCGAGCGUCAUUUCAACCCUCAAGCCCCCGGGUUUGGUGUUGGGGAUCGGGCUGUACUCCAGCCCGGCCCCGAAAUCUAGUGGCGGUCUCGCUGCAGCCUCCAUUGCGUAGUAGCUAACACCUCGCAACUGGAACGCGGCGCGGCCAAGCCGUUAAACCCCCAACUUCUGAAUGUUGACCUCGGAUCAGGUAGGAAUACCCGCUGAACUUAGGCAUAUCAAUAAGCGGAGGA